GAUGAACGCUAGCUACAGGCUUAACACAUGCAAGUCGAGGGGCAGCAUUAGGUAGCAAUACUGAGAUGGCGACCGGCGCACGGGUGCGUAACGCGUAUCCAACCUUCCCGUUACUCUUGGAUAGCCUUCCGAAAGGGAGAUUAAUACAAGAUGGUGUUGAAAUUCCGCAUGUUAUUUCAACUAAAGAUUUAUCGGUAACGGAUGGGGAUGCGUGACAUUAGAUAGAUGGCGGGGUAACGGCCCACCAUGUCUACGAUGUCUAGGGGUUCUGAGAGGAAGGUCCCCCACACUGGAACUGAGACACGGUCCAGACUCCUACGGGAGACAGCAGUGAGGAAUAUUGGUCAAUGGCCGGAAGGCUGAACCAGCCAAGUAGCGUGAAGGAUGAAGGUUCUAUGGAUUGUAAACUUCUUUUAUACGGGAAUAAAACCUCCCACGUGUGGGAGCUUGUAUGUACCGUAUGAAUAAGCAUCGGCUAACUCCGUG
rnacentral:rRNA from 1 species